rnacentral:lncRNA from 1 species
UUCAAGAUAAUUUUAUAAAAUCAUUUCAUUAAAUCACAUUUGGUUUAUAAAACCGAAAAAUUAAUCAUUUAAUUCAUUUUUCAUAAAAUCACAAAAUCGGAUAAAAACCACUCUAAAUAAUUAAGACGAUAGUAAAGUUACUCACAAUGUCUAGAGUGCGAAUUUUCGAAGUACUCUAACUACUGGUCCUCGGAUGCAAUUUUCUUGCCUUUAUCGGAGGACUCACCACCUUGACAUAGUACAAAAUCGAGAAAUUUACAACAUUGGUACUAAAUCAAAAUUAAACUAAUUUAGACUACUAAUGCAUGAUAUGGAAUGCAAAAUGCACGGGUAACCAUUUAAAUCCGGUAUUGACCUAAUUCGUCUUAUCAUUCGAUUAAUUGGCCAACGUGUCCAAUUUAGCUCCAAAUUGCUCCAUUUCUUUUCCAAUACCUUAAUUCACCAAACACAAGUCAAAUAACCUAAAAUUUGGCAAAACCAUCUUCACUUUUCUUCUUAGAAUUUUUGGUCAAUAAUGGUGCAUUAUCACCAUGAUUUUUCCUACUACUUUUCCAUACCAUAAUUCAUCAUUUUCUAAGCAAUUCUCUUAAAUAAAAAAUCAAAUUCAUUCUCACUCAAUACAAGGUAGGUUCGGCCAUUGAUGGGUGAUAGGGAAAAUGAAUUCUUUUCUUGUUGUUUUGUUUCUAGACAUGGUAAACUAACUAAAAACACUAACAUAACUUGAAAUCAAAUCAAUCCAACAUCAUUCUCUCUCCAUACCCAUUCGACUAGCCAUGAAUCCUUCAUGACAUCUUGUGAUUCAACCAUGGGAAAGGUAGAUCACAAGUCAAAAUCAAGAAAUUUUACCUUUGAUUGCUUGAUUACUUGGAAUCCACCAAUUUUUCUCUUGAAUUUUCACCCUAGGGUUCUUAUUCUUUCUUUUCUUCCUUUGUUCUUCU